rnacentral:rRNA from 1 species
AGUGAACGCUGGCGGUAGGCCUAACACAUGCAAGUCGAACGGCAGCACAGUAAGAGCUUGCUCUUACGGGUGGCGAGUGGCGGACGGGUGAGGAAUACAUCGGAAUCUACUUUUUCGUGGGGGAUAACGUAGGGAAACUUACGCUAAUACCGCAUACGACCUACGGGUGAAAGCAGGGGAUCUUCGGACCCUGCGCGAUUGAAUGAGCCGAUGUCGGAUUAGCUAGUUGGCGGGGUAAAGGCCCACCAAGGCGACGAUCCGUAGCUGGUCUGAGAGGAUGAUCAGCCACACUGGAACUGAGACACGGUCCAGACUCCUACGGGAGGCAGCAGUGGGGAAUAUUGGACAAUGGGCGCAAGCCUGAUCCGGCCAUACCGCGUGGGUGAAGAAGGCCUUCGGGUUGUAAAGCCCUUUUGUUGGGAAAGAAAAGCAGCAGGUUAAUACCCCGCUGUUCUGACGGUACCCAAAGAAUAAGCACCGGCUAACUUCGUG